GAUGAACGCUGGCGGCGUGCCUAAUACAUGCAAGUCGAGCGAACAGACGAGGAGCUUGCUCCUCUGACGUUAGCGGCGGACGGGUGAGUAACACGUGGAUAACCUACCUAUAAGACUGGGAUAACUUCGGGAAACCGGAGCUAAUACCGGAUAAUAUAUUGAACCGCAUGGUUCAAUAGUGAAAGACGGUUUUGCUGUCACUUAUAGAUGGAUCCGCGCCGCAUUAGCUAGUUGGUAAGGUAACGGCUUACCAAGGCAACGAUGCGUAGCCGACCUGAGAGGGUGAUCGGCAACACUGGACCUGAGCCACGGUCCAGACCCCUAGGGGAGGCAGCAGUAGGGAAUCUUCCGCAAUGGGCGAAAGCCUGACGGAGCAACGCCGCGUGGGUGAUGAAGGUCUCCGGAUCGUAAAACUCUGUUAUUAGGGAAGAACAAAUGUGUAAGUAACGAUGCACGUCUGGAGGGAACCUAAUCAGAAAGCCACGGCGAACUACGU
rnacentral:rRNA from 1 species